CGAAGCCAACUUCAAGAUAAGAUUUCCCACCGCAAGGGUAAGACCCCAGAAAGACUAUCUGGUUGAUAGGUCGAAGGUGUAAGUGCAGCAAUGUAUUUAGCUUAUCGAUACUAAUAGGUCGAGGACUUGACCAAUAUU
rnacentral:rRNA from 1 species